UACGAAGGGUGCAAGCGUUACUCGGAAUUACUGGGCGUAAAGCGUGCGUAGGCGGUUUGUUAAGUCUGUUGUGAAAGCCCCGGGCUCAACCUGGGAAUGGCAAUGGAAACUGGCGAGCUAGAGUACGGUAGAGGAGAGUGGAAUUCCCGGUGUAGCAGUGAAAUGCGUAGAUAUCAGGAGGAAUACCGAUGGCGAAGGCAGGUCUCUGGGCUAUAACUGACGCUCAUGCACGAAAGCGUGGGGAGCAAACAGG
rnacentral:rRNA from 1 species